CCAAACAUAGUUAUUAAAUAAUAUCUCUUUGUUAAUGAGAAGGUUAAGUUUUGGU
rnacentral:tRNA from 2 species